rnacentral:rRNA from 1 species
UGGGAACUGCGUUNUGAACUGGGUGACUAGAGUGUGUCAGAGGGAGGUAGAAUUNCACGUGUAGCAGUGAAAUGCGUAGAGAUGUGGAGGAAUACCGAUGGCGAAGGCAGCCUCCUGGGAUAACACUGACGUUCAUGCCCGAAAGCGUGGGUAGCAAACAGGAUUAGAUACCCUGGUAGUCCACGCCCUAAACGAUGUCGAUUAGCUGUUGGCCAGCAUGACUGCUUAGUAGCGAAGCUAACGCGUGAAAUCGACCGCCUGGGGAGUACGGUCGCAAGAUUAAAACUCAAAGGAAUUGACGGGGACCCGCACAAGCGGUGGAUGAUGUGGAUUAAUUCGAUGCAACGCGAAGAACCUUACCUGGUCUUGACAUGUACAGAACCCUCCAGAGACGGAGGAGUGCCUUCGGGAGCCGUAACACAGGUGCUGCAUGGCUGUCGUCAGCUCGUGUCGUGAGAUGUUGGGUUAAGUCCCGCAACGAGCGCAACCCUUGUCAUUAGUUGCCAUCAUUAAGUUGGGCACUCUAAUGAGACUGCCGGUGACAAGCCGGAGGAAGGUGGGGAUGACGUCAAGUCCUCAUGGCCCUUAUGACCAGGGCUUCACACGUCAUACAAUGGUCGGUACAGAGGGUAGCCAAGCCGCGAGGCGGAGCCAAUCUCACAAAACCGAUCGUAGUCCGGAUUGCACUCUGCAACUCGAGUGCAUGAAGUCGGAAUCGCUAGUAAUCGCAGGUCAGCAUACUGCGGUGAAUACGUUCCCGGGUCUUGUACACACCGCCCGUCACACCAUGGGAGUGGGGGAUACCAGAAGUAGGUAGGGUAACCGCAAGGAGCCCGCUUAC